rnacentral:rRNA from 1 species
CAGGUGUGUUCAUAACGAUCCUUGAAAAUCCAAGGGAGAUGUUCAUAUCCCCCCUAGGCGUACCCAUAACCGCAUCAGGUCUCCAAGGUUAGCAGCCUCUGGUCAAUAAAAUAAUGUAAAUAAGGGAAUUCGGCAAAUUAGAUCCGUAACUUCGGGAAAAGGAUUGGCUCUGAGGGUUGGGCGGCUGAGGCCUCUUCAUGAAAGCAGAAGUAAAAUUGAAGCUGACUUCACCGUUGGCUUCUUUUUGUUGAAGUUAGAUUGUUGGGGUGUUUUCAUCGACUUUCUCGUCGCAUAAAACAACUGACUCAGAACUGAAGCGGACAAGGGGAAUCCGACUGUUUAAUAAAAACAUAGCUUUGUGAUGGCCUGAAAAGGUGUUGACACAAAGUGAUUUCUGCCCAGUGCUUUGAACGUGAAUAUGAAGUAAUUUGUAGAAGCUCAGGUAAACGGCGGGAGUAACUA